GCAAUAGCUGAUUGCAUUUAAUUUAAUGUAGUUACUACUUGGUAGUUUAAAUUUCUAGGUAGAAUUAUGAUGAUGACAUUAUCUAUCUAUUAGUCUUGACCAAAUUACGUGCCAGCAGUCGCGGUAAUACGUAGAAGACAAGCGUUAUUCAUCUUUAUUAGGUUUAAAGAGUACCAAGACGGUUAAUAAAGCCCAAAAAAAAUGAAUACGGGGGACACAUUAACUAGAGUUAUAUGAAAGGAAGCUAUAAGGUACUGUUGAGUGUAGAGAUGAAAUUUUAUGAUACCAGAUGAUUGGCACAGAUUUAGGCGAAGGCAUCUUCUUAUGUAAUAACUGACGUUGUAGGACGAAGGCUUAAGUAGUGAACAGGAUUAGGUACCCCAGUAAUCUAGGCAGAAAAUGAUGAAUGUCAUAGGUUGAAAUAUUGUGUCUAUAAAUGAAAGUGUAAGCAUUCCACCUCAAGAGUAAUUUGGCAACAUUGGAACUGAAAUCAUUAGACCGUUUCUGAAACCAGUAGUGAAGUAUGUUGUUUAAUUAGAUGAUACACAAAAACCUUACCACAAUUUGAAUAUAUAUAAAAUAUAUUUACAAGCGCUGCACGGCUGUCUACAGUUAAUGUCGUGAGACUUUGGUUAGCUCCAAUAAAUAGACGUAAACCCUAAUUUUAUUUAUAAAUAUAAU
rnacentral:rRNA from 1 species